rnacentral:rRNA from 1 species
ACGAACGCUGGCGGCGUGCUUCACCCCUGCCAGUCGCACGGAAAGGCCCUGCUUUUGUGGGGUGCUCGAGUGGCGAACGGGUGAGUAACACGUGAGUAACCUGCCCUUGACUUUGGGAUAACUUCAGGAAACUGGGGCUAAUACCGGAUAGGAGCUCCUGCUGCAUGGUGGGGGUUGGAAAGUUUCGGCGGUUGGGGAUGGACUCGCGGCUUAUCAGCUUGUUGGUGGGGUAGUGGCUUACCAAGGCUUUGACGGGAAGCCGGCCUGAGAGGGUGACCGGCCACAUUGGGACUGAGAUACGGCCCAGACUCCUACGGGAGGCAGCAGUGGGGAAUAUUGCACAAUGGGCGGAAGCCUGAUGCAGCAACGCCGCGUGCGGGAUGACGGCCUUCGGGUUGUAAACCGCUUUCGCCUGUGACGAAGCGUGAGUGACGGUAAUGGGUAAAGAAGCACCGGCUAACUACGUG